rnacentral:misc_RNA from 1 species
AAGUCGUAACAAGGUUUCCGUAGGUGAACCUGCGGAAGGAUCAUUAUCACGUAUCCACGUAUAAACCAUCGCGAACUGUUUUUCCCUUUGAGAUGAUAGGAGCGUGCAUCAACGAACACAUGAAACUCUUUACUGUAAUUUAUGGUUUCCGUUUGUUUUUGCCAAGGGUGCGUCCUGUACCUAUCGUCUUGAAGUGUAUUUUAUAAAUUGCACUUUGAUUAACAAUUUGAACCACAAUUCUUUAAACUUUGAACUGAUCUGUUUCUUACUCUCUUCGGAGAGAAGAAAUUCAUUACGAAA